GGCGGUGUAGCUCAGCUGGCUAGAGCGUACGGUUCAUACCCGUAAAGUCGGGGGUUCAAGUCCCUCCGCCGCUACCA
rnacentral:tRNA from 1 species